rnacentral:rRNA from 1 species
CAGUAGCCGCGGGAAUACGUAGGUGGCAAGCGUUGUCCGGAAUUAUUGGGCGUAAAGGGCUCGCAGGCGGUUUCUUAAGUCUGAUGUGAAAGCCCCCGGCUCAACCGGGGAGGAUCAUUGGAAACUGGGAAACUUGAGUGCAGAAGAGGAGAGUGGAAUUCCACGUGUAGCGGUGAAAUGCGUAGAGAUGCGGAGGAACACCAGUGGCGAAGGCGACUCUCUGGUCUGUAACUGACGCUGAGGAGCGAAAGCGUGGGGAGCGAACAGGAUUAGAUACCCCCGUAGUCCCUGUCUCUUAUAC